rnacentral:lncRNA from 1 species
AUGGCUUAUCUUGCAGGGCUGCCAACAAGCCAGUUUUAUCCGAGCUGCAGGCAUAACUCUGAGAUAAUGCACUGUACAAUAUUCACUUUGGGCCGACAUCAGCAGGGGUGGCAAAAGAGAUUCAUCCUCAAAGCUUCAGUGCCUCGUCUGGAAGUUGGAGUGUACUGCAGUGGUAUUUGCGGCAAAAGAUGGAUUGUUAGGUCAGAUGGGCAAGAAAGAGUACUUCUGCCAACAUAGAAACCAAACUAUUGUAAGUUUGCAUAAAGGAAUACAAUGAGGUGUAUCAACAGACAUUCCCAAGGCAGUGCAUAGAUCUGCGAGUAUUUGUUAUACUGGCAAGUCUGGUACGAAAGUUCAUUUAUAUUGAUUUAAAGAUUUUUCUUCCAGGUAUCCUUAUAAAAGUAAGGAAAUGAUUGAACUCAAGAAGUAAGCAUUAUCCUCUGAAGCCAUCUGAGGCUAAACAUAAUAUUCCAUUAUGCCUACCGUACAAUUCAGUAUAAGCCAAAGAAUUGAAAUGAAUUUUGAUACUGUCACAGAAUACCUGAAAUCUUAUUUUUUGUUUAACAAGUAAGCUUCAGGUCUUUAUGUAAAGUGUUCAUAGGAUUGGGAAUGGAUGCUGUAAAGUGAGAAAGGGCUGGUUUGCAGUAGUCAAAAAGAAAGGGCUCCAUAGCUCUUUAAAGUAAAAUAAUUUAUAUAAAACACAUUGGUAAAUUUAAAUUAUGCAACCCUUGACUAUAGCCUUAAUCAGUGUGGACUUCAUAUUGCCCUAAUGCCUAGUUUAGACUUUUGAGCAGACAUAGCCUAUCAGAUGCCCAAAACAGGAAAAAAAGGGGCAACGAGAGAGCCUGGACAAGCCAAACAGCAUUGCCCUCAGCUCCUCAAGCUUGAAGAAGGUGGUUUCUAAGGCAAAUAUCAGUCCUGGCUAGGUACUGAUACUUCUUGGUUGGAGGCGUCCAGACCUUACAGGGAGUCUCUGAGAGUCAAGGAAACAAGCCAACCACACCUACUGGUUUUUUUUAAUCUUAGGCAAGAACCAGUGGCAGAAAGUGAAGAGGUAUGCAAAAUGUUGGAUGCAGUACUAAUCAGCCCACUCAAUAUUUCUGGGAAGAUAGGUUUAUUACAGUUCAUUUUAAGUGGGAUUUAUUAAAAUGUGAAGAGAAAAGAAAACAGACUGCAGAAAGGGCAACAGCUUUUUUUUUUAAAGUACAGUUUCUAUUCUGUAUAUACCAAACUAUGU